rnacentral:rRNA from 1 species
AUUGAACGCUGGCGGCAGGCCUAACACAUGCAAGUCGAACGAGUGGCGCACGGGUGAGUAAUGUCUGGGAAACUGCCCGAUGGAGGGGGAUAACUACUGGAAACGGUAGCUAAUACCGCAUACCAUCGGAUGUUCCCACAUUGGCUUAGCUUGUAGGUGAGGUAACGGCUCACCUAGGCGACGAUCCCUAGCUGGUCUGAGAGGAUGACCAGCCAAUCUGGAGCUGAGCAACGGGCCAGACUCCUACGGGAGGCAGCAGUGGGGAAUAUUGAACAAUGGGCGCAUGCCUGAUGCAGCCAUGCCGCGUGUAUGAAGAAGGCCUUCGGGUUGUAAAGUACUUUCAGCGGGGAGGCGUUACCCGCAGAAGAAGCCCCGGCUAAUUCCGUGCCAGCAGCCGCGGUAAUC